GCCGAGUGACGGCACCACCGGCACGGCACGUCUCGGAUCGGCGCGGCGGCACCGGACUUCAGCCGGGGGCGGAUGCAGUGUGGUGCCUGAUGAGGAGCCUGAGUCCCCAGCUCAGGUGUAAAGGAGAACCAGAAAUGUCACCCUAGCAGUUUUGAGGCGUCAUCAACCACCUGGGUUCGCUGCUCUGAAGCAAGGCACUCUGCAGCCACCAAGACCACCUCAGUUUCCCCUCCAUCCAGGCUGGCUCCAGAUCUUCAUCAGCUGGGCUGAAAACUACAGCAAUUCAGGAGCACUUGGCAUAUGCCAAGAGAGAGAGAGCUGGGAGCUGUCUGGCAGAACAACUUGGAUUCCAUGAGGUGCCACAUGCCACCCUUUUCCACCAAUCCUGGCAGUGGGAGGUUCUGUUUAAAAUCCAGCUUUGGAUGUGGUGAACUAUAGUUGAAUUUGGCCUUAGUGCACGGACAUGUUUGGAUAAAAUGUACCAACUCUUGUUGAGACUCACUGCUUGAGCAAUGCACAGGAUUCAUGCUUCUUCUCUGAUUUGCUUGGAAUUCUGCUCAGAAGAUUUUCCCAAACAGAAAAAAAUUCAAAAAUCGUAUUCAUUUUGGGAAACUUUGGAGGACACAAAGCUGUCCAACAGUCUGAUAGUUGCUGAAAUAUAUUCAAUCCUGAGGGACAAAAUGAGGACCUACAAAAAAAAGCAAGGAUGCAGGUUUGGAGUCAGAUUAUUUCCUGUCUCCUCAGAAGACAGAACAGCUGCUGUAAAAGCAAGACCAUGAGGAGACACAGCAGUGUUGCUGCCAGAUAAGGAUAGCAUGGCUGUUCAUUCCCUUCUCACUCACGCAGGACAGGGCCAUCAUUAUCUAGUUUAAAGCAAACAUGACAGACACUGCUAUUAUCACAUCAGCAGAUUGUUCAGUUAUUAUUGUUUGUAUUGCAGGAGUGCCUGGAGGCCCAGGCUGUGUUGCAACACUUAUUUGCUAUGUGCAGGACAUACUUUCAGGAGACCGUUCCCAUCUGGAAUAGCUUCUUCUGCACACACUAAGUAUCAGUAAGAAAAAAGGGACUAAUCACACUGUACCAGAGCAAAGGAAAUGCAGUUUACCCAAAGUUGUAACUGAGAAACUCUUCUACAGAGCUGUAUGGGCAGCAUCAUUCUCAAGCCAUGUGGAGAGACAGCAAAAUUAAUCAGCUGAUGUUUUUGCAUGUAGAAAGAAAAGACUGCAUAUGCCUGAAACAACCUGCACUAAACAUGGUGAUACAAGUGGCAAUUCCACUUGUUCAGAAGGCAGCCUGAUAAUGGGAGACUUAAGAAUUUUUGUACAUGUCUUUGCUAAUGAUCCCUUUAAUUACUAGCUAUAAAUCAUAUGGUAUGAAAACAUCACCAUUCUCAUUUCAAGAAGAAAGAUUUUGUAAUGCUUUUUCACUGUGUAAUACAUAUGGAUUUAGGGCUCUGUGGAUUAAAUUUGGCAAUUUCAGGCAUGCAAGGUUACUAAUCCGUACUUUGUCUACAUAAAAUCGAAAGAAGAAGCAAGGCAGCCUUGUGCCCUGGGGAUGGCUGGGGAAUUCCACACAUGCCUGUCUUCUGUAACUCUUGUCAAGGGUGAAAACAUUAAUGUCAGUGUUGCAAUAGUUACAGGCAGACCAAAGGGGCACACUUCAAGCAAAGCAAACGUGGUUUCAUUAAGUAUUUCUCUGUUUUCACCUCACAGUUAUUUUUUUGACACCUCUGUUCUCCCAGUUUCCUGAUGUUUUAAAGUAUGUAUUUGUCACAUUUAAUUCUGUUUUCCUGUAAUAGCUUCAUCCGCAGAGAUUUCUCUUGGAGAACGGCCCAGAGAUUUUUUUGUUUCUUCUUACAUUUCUAUUUUCUCUGCAUCUGCUGUUACAUCAUCUAUAUGGCUUAUAUACACAUAAUUUUAGUUUUUAUGUCAAACUUAUAAUGCCACAAUCAGGCUGUCUAAAUGACUAAGUCCUGAGGAAUUUAUUUAGGCAAAAUUUGCACAGAAUUGUCUGUGAUUUCUUUAAUAAGUUGAAUGCUGCAAUAUUUCUGGUAGGUAUGCCAAAAUAAUAUAGGUAUAAGAAUAGAGCAUUAGUAAAAAUCAUUUCAGGAGCCAGUAAAGUAAAUCACAUUGUGCAGCUUUAACAAGGUCAAUGAUGAA